rnacentral:lncRNA from 1 species
AUUUACGCGAGGAGAAGGAAACUUGCGAGUUGGCCAAAUCGUACGUGACACGUGUCCCCUGCUGCUGUACGUUCCCGAUGAUGGACAGAGAGGCCGUCGUUGGAGCAAACGCCAAACAGAAUGUUCCGGCCGAGUCUACGGGAAUCAGGUAGUUGCUCGGCGGCAAGGGCAGGGACUUUCCUCCGUCGAACAGAAACGCCACCGUUGGGACACGAACGCUGGUUCGCGAGGAGAGAUUGUAACAGGUGUCGAACAAGGCGAAGCCGCUCGUCGAUGGCAGGUCCUUGGUGAGCUUCACGAACGUGUCUCGGAGCGCGUUGUAGGCCUGAGUCUGCAAUCGAGUCACAGCGGUGCCGCAAUCUACGAUGAUUCCUCCUUUUCCACUCCCGUCGAC